AGCGAACGCUGGCGGCGUGCUUAACACAUGCAAGUCGAGUGCGCGUCCGUAGCAAUACGGAUGGCGCACGGCGCACGGGUGAGUAACACGUGGGCAAUCUGCCCUCGGAUGGGGGAUAACUCGUCGAAAGGCGAGCUAAUACCGCAUGACAUUCCGAAGACUCCGGUCUUUGGAUUCAAAGGCCGCAAGGCCGUCUGAGGAGGAGCCCGCGCCCGAUUAGCUAGUUGGUGAGGUAACGGCUCACCAAGGCUUUGAUCGGUAGCCGGUCUGAGAGGAUGGCCGGCCACACUGGAACUGAGACACGGUCCAGACUCCUACGGGAGGCAGCAGUGGGGAAUAUUGCGCAAUGGGCGAAAGCCUGACGCAGCGACGCCGCGUGGGGGAUGAAGCUUCUCGGAGUGUAAACCCCUUUCGACCCGGACGAAUGACCCGCAAGGGUUUGACGGUACGGGUAUAAGAAGCCCCGGCUAACUACGUGCCAGCAGCCGCGGUAAUACGUAGGGGGCCAGCGUUGCUCGGAAUUACUGGGCGUAAAGGGUUCGUAGGUGGUGCGGUAAGUUGGAAGUGAAAUCUCUGGGCUUAACCCAGAGGCUGCUUUCAAAACUGUCGCGCUCGAGUGCGAGAGAGGUCAGUGGAAUUGCAGGUGUAGCGGUGAAAUGCGUAGAUAUCUGCAGGAACACCCGUGGCGAAGGCGGCUGACUGGAUCGCAACUGACACUGAGGAACGAAAGCUAGGGGAGCAAACAGGAUUAGAUACCCUGGUAGUCCUAGCCCUAAACCAUCGGAACUUGGGGUGGCCCGCGUAGGCGGGUCGUCCCGUAGCUAACGCGUUAAGUUCCGCGCCUGGGGAGUACGGUCGCAAGACUG
rnacentral:rRNA from 1 species